rfam:Apaloderma vittatum contig17454, whole genome shotgun sequence.
GGCUGGUUAACUCAGUUGGUUGAGCGUGGUGCUGACAACACCAAGGUCACGGGUUUGAUUCCCAUUCCGUCUC